AUGACCAAGGCUCCACCCAUGCGCCUGAGUUGUUUACAGUCUAAUGGGGGAACUCGCGUAGGGAACCUCUUUCUGGCACACAUCACCGUGAAGAAUCCUUGGCCAAAGACACAGCUAAGGGGCCGAGCAAGCCUGAGCUCUUCUUGUAAGACAGACCACGAGGUACCCCAGAUGGAGGAAUGUGCAAAGACGCCGGGGCUGGAACUGGAAUCCGUCCCGGGACCUCUCACCUUGACCUCAGGGAAGGCAGGAGGUCGGAGACAGGGGGUGGGCAGGCCCGGGAAAGAGGAAACCCACAGGACGAGAGGGUUGUGGCUCGUCACGUGGCCACUUGAGGGCAGCAAGAAGCCGCAGCUGGAGGCAGUUGCCUAUCUGAUCCUGUUUGAGAGUCCGCCAAGUUGGGAUUUAAAUUAGACUUCAAGAAGAAUUUACAGACCGGCCUUGCCUUGUUCUAUGGUAAGCGGACAUUGGGUUUAGGGCUGGAGGAGGUAGUCUCUGGGAGUCUGGGCCCGGCGGAAGGAGUAAGAGAUUAGAGAGCCUUUAGUUGUUCCCUUUCUUAGGUCUUUUUUUUUUUUUUCUUAACCUCAGUGCCACGGAAUCUACCUCUUCAUCCCACAGUGUACCUUCUCCUGUCCCCACCUGUAUCCCUCCUCCUGGAAAGUUUCUCCAAUGGCGCUCAGCGUUCACACCCUUCCUCUCUGCCGUUUUCUAGUCCCUAGGCCCCAGCCCACUAGAAGCCAGGGUGCCCCCUCACCCCGUCUCCCACUCUCCAGCGCCCCAGCUCCUUGCCGUCACAAGAACCAAGUAGGUCAGGGGAGGCAAGAGGCACCUCCGUGUCCUGACCUGAUUCCUUGCCGUCUAUUAAAUAUCCUACAUUGCGGGUAUUUUUAUUCUGUCCUGGAAGAAAAAAUAAAAAGAUGAUCUGUCCCCAGAGCCUGUGAGAAGGUGGUGGCAGGUGGGGUGAGCCGUUUCCUCGUCUGGGGCUGGCUCUGAAGAUUGAUUGGGUCUGGCCCUGAGCAGGCCUGGAGGCCCCAGAGAGGCGGGAGGCCUGGGUUACCUAUUCGUGGGGAGGGGUCCAGGCCCCCUCCACUCUCAUGUCUGCCAGGCUUGGGGGGCAAAUCGGUGCUGGAAAUGGGGGGA
rnacentral:lncRNA from 1 species